AUCCAGGCACGCCAACUUCACUGAAUUUUGCCUUCAAAUUAAGUUACGAAAUUUUUAUUAAAACGUUUCUUACAUAUCGUUAUAUUGGCUGGGCCGCAAAAAUAUUCGUUUUGGGCCGCGAGUAUGAUAUGCUUGCUUUACAGUAAUGAACAGCUGAUAUCUAACUGUAAAAUUCAUAAACUCAGCCAAAUCUUACAUACAAUUCUUGUAUCAAAUUAUCGGAGAUCUUUCCUUUUUUCAAGAAUUCAUAACAGAUGACUGAAAAAAGUCAUAAAAGCAGGAUAAACUAACAUACUUUUUCUGCAGUACACCACAAUACAUGGACCCUGAAACAGUGGGGGGACAGGACACAUCAUGACAGCUGAUUGGUGAAGCCUUGGUGUUUUGGUGUGUGAAAUAUUGUCAAGGGCUAUGCCUUUUGAAGUAAAAGGAGAAAACAACCAGCAGACGAUAUUUAAGUGAGUCUCGGAAAUCAAGAGGCAUCUAUUCUACACCAAGUUCUUUUCCCACAUCCGUUACCAUACAAUAUAAAUAUUUCAGUUCUAAACUGCCUUGUUCAUGGAUCUAAUGCAGUAGAGUCCUGAUUAUCAAAUCUAAACAGGAUGGAAGGAUGGUCAGAUAAUUAAAAAUGUCAGAUAAUUCAGAAGACUGAAGAAAAACGACACCAUGUGGGAUGAUAUCAGGGCAAGGGUAGUACUUCUGCCCUAAUUACUUCUUCUGGAUCACAGCAUCAUUGUCGAUGAUGAUGAAGACCAGUUACCAGGCACUCAGUGUCACAAGGCUGAUCACACUUUCUAGGUCAGCACAAGUAUUUUGCAAAGUUCUAGUAUGUGUUGCAUCAGAAUAGUUUUUGUCUGGUCUUUCUGUUACUUUUAUAGCAGGUGCUGAAACUGAGGGGCAUGUUGCCUUCAUGUUACAUAAUAUUAUAAAUUUUGCUGUUCUGAUUAGGCCUUGGCUGAUAUUUGUGCUCUGUAACUGUGGUAUGGUGCACAGAGUGAGAUUCAACAUUCACACUGCCAUAUUCAUUAACUUGGUUCAUGCAUAUAAACAGCAGGUAUUAGCAAAAUAAUGGUCAUGCAGACAGUGAUAACAGUAACAUAAUGGGUUAUUAACACCUUGAAGUACAGUCUUUUCUAGAAGCUGAGAAUUUGCUCAGCUAGUCAAGAAAUUUGCCAUGUCUAACAUUUUAUAACAUACUAGAACUUUUACAGUGAGUAGGUCAUAGCACUCCGCCCAUUCUGUGUUUGGACAUCCUCUCAUUCCGCAGGGGACAACCUGUGCCAUGGUGGCAUGGGAUCCACUUAACAUGUUGAAAAUGUUUAAACUUACCUUUUAAGAAGGUAGCUGCCCUGUGGGUUGUAAUGCUAUCAUGUGGUAGAAGAUUACAGACAUUUCAGAAGUGCUUACUACCUCCAUCAUCAGGGAGAUUAUGUUUGAGGCAGCAAGUACCUCUGAAAUGUGGGUCAACUUCUGCCAGACUACAUGGCGCAGCAAACCACACGGAACAUAUCUUCAUAUUCAUUGCUGUGAGGACCUGAAAUUAUAUGUUAAUAAAUCUGUGUUGAUAAUGUGGAUUACUGUGAGGUGAGUGAGGUCCGAUGAUAGACACUGAGAUAGGCUGUGUUGAACAUUCAGAGUCAAAUACAACAGAGAUAGCUGUUUAAUUUGUAUAAGCCUAGUCUCUGUUUUACAGUGAAGAUACAAGUUUAUAAUCUUGUUGCCAGAGACAUAACAUUUUUCUUAUCUUAUAAACACUGGAGUAAGGACAUUUCAGUACAUAUGAAUUUGCCUGCUUACGUGCGACUUCUGUAAUAUGUAUCGCAGAGUUUCUCACUUGUGUCACCUCCUCUGGAUGAAAUCCACUAGCAGCACCCAAACGCAGUGAUAAUACAUGGCCUACAUUAGUUUCUGAGUUUGUAUCUGAUAUAUCCAUUACAAAUUAUAAAGUUAAGGAAUGGUGCUUUUUAUUUCUGCCUCACACAAUCAGUGAUAUUUUAUUGCUUAUCCUUAAAAAAUAGACAAGAAAAUAACAAGCUACUUAUUAGAUAAAUAACUAUAGGCUUCGUCCAAAUUUAACCAUUUUUAGGCUCUACCAAAAAGUGUUUUAUGAAAUGGAUUAUAUGUUGGCAAGUGUAAUUUUGCUUGUCUCUCACAAUAUACAGCAAUGAACAAAAUUGUAUGAUGUUAAAAAUAUUACAUUUACAGAUUAAGAUACAUCUCGGUCAUAUUUGCCAACCUUGAAUUUAUUCCCCAAAACAAAAUUCCAUCAUGGCAGGCUGUAUUCAUCAACUGACCUUAGACAAAGUCCACAGCUGCUUGGGUCGUGUCACAGCUCUGGUGGUUAGUUGCCAGGUUCUCAAUGUGGGAGCCUGGGUUGACACUCAAGGAAGUCCAUGUUGGAUUUAUGGUGGGCAAAAUGACACUGGCACACACUCAUCUCAGAACUCUUUGGUUCCCUCGGACACUAGAUUAUUAUUGUCCAUUGCUCUGCAUUAUUUGUGGGCUGUAUUAUCAGGUUUCUGUCAGAUGCAUUUCCAGACAGGCAGUUGCCUCCCUUCAUAAUAAUAACAAUAAUGCAGAAUGUUGCAAUAUUAAAAUUAAAACAUUGCACAUUUAAAAUCAAUAAUUUAAAAUAUUAAAUAGUCUAUGGGUUGUAUAAAAUCUGUUGUUGCCAUGUGUAAUGUAGCUUUGAUGUGUUACUUUAUCAAUGCUAAAAGAAAACUUGGGACCAAAUAUACUUUACAUGGAGAGUUGAAUGUUUAUUAUUA